GGCCUGUUGGUCUAGGGGCAUGAUACUCGCUUAGGGUGCGAGUGGUCCCGGGUUCGACUCCCGGACAGGCCC